GAGCCGGUAGCUCAGUCGGUAGAGCAUUCGACUUUUAAUCGAAUGGUCGUGGGUUCGAAUCCCACCCGGCUCACCA
rnacentral:tRNA from 26 species